rnacentral:rRNA from 1 species
AGAGUUUGAUCAUGGCUCAGAUUGAACGCUGGCGGCAUGCCUUACACAUGCAAGUCGAACGGCAGCACGGGGAGCUUGCUCCUGGUGGCGAGUGGCGAACGGGUGAGUAAUACAUCGGAACGUACCCUGAAGUGGGGGAUAACGUAGCGAAAGUUACGCUAAUACCGCAUAUUCUGUGAGCAGGAAAGAGGGGGAUCGCAAGACCUCUUGCUUUAGGAGCGGCCGAUGUCGGAUUAGCUAGUUGGUGAGGUAAAGGCUCACCAAGGCGACGAUCCGUAGCGGGUCUGAGAGGAUGAUCCGCCACACUGGGACUGAGACACGGCCCAGACUCCUACGGGAGGCAGCAGUGGGGAAUUUUGGACAAUGGGCGCAAGCCUGAUCCAGCCAUGCCGCGUGAGUGAAAAGGCCUUCGGGUUGUAAAGCUCUUUCGGUGGGGAAGAAAUUGCUUCGGUUAAUACCUGGAGUAGAUGACGGUACCCGCAUAAGAAGCACCGGCUAACUACGUG